rnacentral:rRNA from 1 species
GACGGACGCUGGCGGCGUGCCUAAUACAUGCAAGUCGAGCGCAGGAAGCCGUCUGAACCCUUCGGGGGGACGACGGUGGAAUGAGCGGCGGACGGGUGAGUAACACGUAAAGAACCUGCCCACGGGUCUGGGAUAACCACGAGAAAUCGGGGCUAAUACCGGACGGGUCAUCGGACCGCAUGGUCCGAGGAUGAAAGGCGCUCCGGCGUCGCCCGUGGAUGGCUUUGCGGUGCAUUAGCUAGUUGGUGGGGUAAGGGCCCACCAAGGCGACGAUGCAGAGCCGCCCUGAGGGGGUGAUCGGCCACACUGGGACUGAGACACGGCCCAGACUCCUACGGGAGGCAGCAGUAGGGAAUCUUCCACAAUGGACGAAAGUCUGAUGGAGCAACGCCGCGUGAACGAUGAAGGCCCUCGGGUCGUAAAGUUCUGUUGUAAGGGAAGAACAAGUGCCGCAGGCAAUGGCGGCACCUUGACGGUACCUUGCGAGAAAGCCACGGCUAACUACGUGCCAGCCGCCGCCGUAAGAC